UAGGCGUGCAACUCGCCUACACGAAGUUGGAAUUGCUAGUAAUCGUGGAUCAGCAUGCCACGGUGAAUACGUUCCCGGGUCCUUGUACACACCGCCCGUCACACCAUGAGAGUUGGAGAUACCCGAAGCCUAUGAGCUAACUUUUAGAGGCAGUAGUCGAAGGUAGAAUCAAUGAUUGGGGUGAAGUCGUAACAAGGUAAC
rnacentral:rRNA from 1 species